UGCUCACUGCAGGCAGAGCCAGCCACCAUACUGUGAGGAUGUAUUAACCACGUCUAUUCUUUCUGUAUUUUGCUACUUUGACCUCUGGGGUCUUGCUGACCCUGGAGGGACUGCACCUCCUAGGGUUAGCCAAUUCCUAGAGAAAAUAAGCAGCUUGUCUGUGAGCACACCUCUCAAAUGCAAUGCAACCAGUCCAGAGCCCACAUCCACAACCACCUCCUUCAUGCAGCUCUCACACUCCUGGACCACUAUCCGCCUGCCCUAAUCAUCCCAGGGCUGGGUACUAGACAAGCAGGGACAGCAACUGUGCCCCAAAGUCUGCUGAAAUAAUUCAAAUGAGCCAAUCCUAAGACUGCUCAGCCUGCCUAGCCUGUUCUUCUCUGUGAAAACCACAGGAAAGGCUCUUGCUCACAUUUUCCCUCCACUCCCUGCUCUGCCUCCUGGCUGACCCCGCUGCUUCCCCGUGGAGUGGACGUGACCCCUCUUCUUGAGAUCCACAACCUUCAAGAGUCCUGUGGAGAAGCCGAGAUGAGGAGGAACUAAGGCGUCCGUCCCACCAGCCUUGAGCCAGCUACACCAGUCAGAACGGAAAUAGAGACCCAGAGAAGGUGUGGGGAAAGCAGAAGGAGGAGGCACCGGCCUUGCAGGUGGGUUGAGGCCAGGUGAAGGGCCUUGGGCUGGACACACAGAUCAAAUCACCUGAGUGAGUCUUGCCCUAGAACCAGUGUUCCCUCACCCCAUUCUCCCUCCUGAGGAUGGGUGAUGUAACUCCUGGCACAUCUGCCUCUCUCCUACCUGGCCGGUUUUGGUCAGGGGGUGUAACCCAACUGCCUCCACAAGCAUCCCAACCAGUGGACCCAUUGGAACAGGCUGUGGGCACAUUGGUCAGCUGAUGGCUGCUGAGUGGAAGGCAGGGCAUGCCUAACCUCUGCCCCAACUAAGACGAGGGAAGGCUGUUUUUUCCAUGGUAGGUAGUGUUGCCAAAAACAUUUGGCCUCCUUUAUCCAGAUGUGGGAUAACCCCACACAUCGUCAGAGAUGCAAGGAGACGAAAAGUCCACUCCUUCAUUUCGUGGCUGUGGAAGUCCAAGUUCACUUUGAAGUGACUUGGCCAGGGUCGCACAGGCAAAACCAGAGCUAAAACUGAGUCUUAAGUCUCUUACUUCAGUGUUCUUUCUUAUUACACCUUGUAGAAAAAGAGUCUAUGUCAUAUUCUAUGCCAGACCUAUAACCUCGUUUUUCCAAAACACGGAAUUGCUGGCUGAACUGUUCUGACAGUCCUUCGUGUCCAUUUGAAAAUACAGACUUGACAUCAAGACAUUUGUUUUCAGUGUUGUGUAAUUAGACUUUUAAACCCCACCCUUAAAACGUUUUAUCUGGUAUUUACCAAAACAGACCAAAAGUCCAGCUAAUAAUGUUGUCAGCCACUUUUGCUGCUCUCUAAUAAAUUACGUAGAAAAUUACUGAGUGAUGUUUUCCAAGUGACAGCAAAAAUUAGGGACUUCAACUCUCCAGUUCAAGAGUUCAUUGGACUCAUCACUUCAGAGAGAGUAUAAAUAAGCUUCCCAAGAUGAUCAUUCUAAAAUAACUCUUCUUUCUACCAGGUGACUUGUAGAACUGACUUUGUACUUGACACAGAGCCACAUGACUGGUGCGAUGGGCUGAGCGGUGCUGGGAGAAUAUCCCAAGUCUUGCUUUCUUUUUUUUUUUUUAAAGAUUUUACUUUUCCUUUUUCUCCCAAAGCCCCCCAGUACAUAGUUGUGUAUUUUUUGUUGUGGGUCCUUCUAGUUGUGGCAUGUGGGAUGCCGCCUCAGUGUGGUUUGACAAGCGGUGCCAUGUCCGCGCCCAGGAUUUGAACCAGUGAAACCCUGGGCCGCCGAAGCAGAGCACUCAAACUUAACCACUCCUCCACGGGGCUGGCCCCUCAAGUUUUGCUUUCUUAGAUGACUUUUGCUCUUGAUUUCUUGGUUUGUUUGAAGAGGUCAAAGGGGAGCCUCUUAUGCCAACUGAGUGGGUCUCUUUAUCAUCAUUUUCUACAGCUUUCCUUUAUAAGAUCCAUUAUGACUUUGGAAAUGUAGUGACAUUGUCUUAGGGACUCUAAUAAAGACAAAAUCUGGUAAGGUGGCUCUAGGGGAGUGUGUGUGUGUGUCUGUGUGUGUGUGUUGGGGG
ensembl:lncRNA